GGGUAAAGCUGGAAAUCCAGGAGAAAGAGGAGAUCAUGGUGCACUUGGUUUGCCUGGGCCUCCCGGAGCCACAGGAGACAAGGGACCAAUGGGAGAGCCAGGUCCAAGAGGACAACCAGGGGAUGCUGGCCCUAUUGGAGAAAUGGGUUUUGAGGUGAGCUCUUAAUCAUUUAUAUAGUAAUUACAAACACUCAUGCAACUGAAUAAGCCUGGACAAUGUGUUUAGA
rnacentral:lncRNA from 1 species